AACGAACGCUGGCGGCAUGCCUAACACAUGCAAGUCGAACGAGACCUUCGGGUCUAGUGGCUCACGGGUGCGUAACGCGUGGGAACCUUCCCUUAGGUUCGGAAUAACUCCCCGAAAGGGGUGCUAAUACCGGAUAAUGUCUUCGGACCAAAGAUUUAUCGCCUUUGGAUGGGCCCGCGUUGGAUUAGCUUGUUGGUAGGGUAAAAGCCUACCAAGGCGACGAUCCAUAGCUGGUCUGAGAGGAUGAUCAGCCACACUGGGACUGAGACACGGCCCAGACUCCUACGGGAGGCAGCAGUGGGGAAUAUUGGACAAUGGGCGAAAGCCUGAUCCAGCAAUGCCGCGUGAGUGAUGAAGGCCUUAGGGUUGUAAAGCUCUUUUACCCGGGAUGAUAAUGACAGUACCGGGAGAAUAAGCUCCGGCUAACUCCGUG
rnacentral:rRNA from 1 species